AUACGGAGGAUCCGAGCGUUAUCCGGAUCUAUUAGGUUUAAAGGGUGCGCAGGCGGAACUGUAAGUCACCGAUGAAAUCCUACAGCUUAACUGUAGAACUGCCGGUGAUACUGCGAUUCUUGAGUAUAGUUGAGGUAGGCGGAAUGUGUAGUGUAGCGGUGAAAUGCAUAGAUAUUACACAGAACACCGAUUGCGAAGGCAGCUUACUAAACUAUUACUGACGCUCAUGCACGAAAGCGUGGGGAGCGAACAGGAUUAGAAACCCGAGUAGUCC
rnacentral:rRNA from 1 species